UAACACAUUCUACAGUAGGAUCAUUUCUAUAGGAAUCGUCACUCUUUGACUCUUCAAAAGAGCCACUGAAUCCAACUUGGUUGAUGAGUGACAUAACCUUUGUGCCCUCGAGUGAGAACCCAAUGAAUUAACUAGCUUGGUCCGCAAUCCUAAGCGGUUCGGCCAUCUAUAGUGAUACAUUUUGUUUUGCCUUUUGCAAGGGACUUUUAAAACUUCGGUUUUAGAAGACCCAUUUAAAUAGGCGCGAUGAUCUUUGCCCUAUCUAUGUACUUCUUUGAAGGGAUAGAUUUUUUGGGUGGGCACAAAUGGCAGUCUGACAAGU
rnacentral:snoRNA from 1 species